CUCCCCUGUGUGGAGAGAGGAUCUCAUACCAAAGGAAAGGCAUUUCAUAGGUCAAGAGUUCAAUGCUGCUCUUGGCCAAGGGGAUGGCCCAUUUCCACUGUGGGUGGAAAGGCAGGGAUCCCAGAGUUCUGCACCCUGCCUUAUACCCACUCUGCUUCAUGUCACCAGGCUACUGGACUCCCUCAGAGUUGCUGAUCUGUUCUGACACUCACUCGCCUGCCCACCCUGCUCUGACCCACCUGAUCCUCACACCCGCCUGGUUACCUUUUCACCAUUUUGAGAGGAGAGGCCCAAGCCCAACAGUGAGAGUCAGAAAGGCAGUUGGAGGCCCUCGUGGUCACUGACCUGCUCUGACGCCUGCUCAUCUGUCUGCCCAACCUUUUUUGACCCACUUGAUUCCCCCACCUGACUGGUUAUCUUGUUACCAUUUUGUGAGGAGAGGCCCAUAUCCAACUGUGAGAGUGAGAAAGGUGAGCAGGAGCUGCACCCUCAUCCCAUACCAACCCCUCAAGUACAGAGGUCACUGGUGGGUACCCAGACCACUCAGGGCUGGGGGGGGAGGUGACAAUGACCUCCAGUACCAACCACUGAGCAUGCAGCCCCCUCAGGGAUCCCUGCAGUGCAGGCUGCUACCAGAGGUGCCUGAGUCCCUGUCAGGAGCCUGAGGUCAGAGCAAAAGACACCUGGCCCAGAAAAGCAAGGUUCAGAGUAGGAGGGAGGGAAGCAGAUGCAGGAGAGGAGAAGGAUGGGAGGAAGGAAGGUCCAGCUACACCAGAGUUGGAUGUUGGUGAGAGAGGAGGUGGUGCGUGAGGACAAGAAAUGAAGACAGGAGUGAGAGAAAGAAGAAAAAAGAUGGAUGAAGUGUUAGGCAAUUGAUGGAGGAGGAGGAGUUAGAGGAAGGGGAGGACUGAGCAGGAGGAGAUGGAUGGUGCAAGAAGUGGAUGGAAGAGGAUGAAGCAGAGAUGGAAGAGGAUGUGGAGGAGAAGCAGGGGGUCCAGGCCAGCCCUGAGAGUUGAUCUUGGGUUCCAAGUUGAGUUGCUAGAGAUUAUACUUGAUUUACACCCUAAUUUAAUGCUACAAACUCGCUAACCACAGGGAGCUGGGGGAGGCCUGGGUGGGAAAUUGCUGGUCUAAUUCUAGUCCAAUGGCAAUGACUUAGGGUUCACCAUGGAACCCCUAGGAUGGAGGGGAGAGGAGGAGUGAAGGAAGAGCAGGGUUAGGGACCGGGUGUUCCUGAGUUUUCAUGUGCCCGAGUCUAUCACCUGUCAGGCUACACCUGUCUGUGGUCAUCCUCCCCUGCUGGGUUACAGCCCUGUCCCUGAAAAGGAUGACCUCCUUCAUUUUGGGCUCAGUACUGACCCUUACUUCUGACCUUAGCCCAAUAUUGUGUGGAAUUAGAAUGAACUUGCAGCUGCCUGGAACCCACUCUGCAUCAUGUCCCCAGGCAGGUGGAGGUUCUUGCGGUCACUGACCUGCUCUGAAGCUUGCUCAUCUUCUGGCCCUGAUCGAACCCACCUGAUCUCCACACCCACCUGCUUACCUUCUUACCAUCUUGAGAGGAGAGGCCCACAUCCAACAGGGAGUGUCAGAAAGGCAGUUGGAGGCCCUCGUGGUCACUGACCUGCUCUGACGCUCACUCACCUGCCUGCCCUGCUCUGACCCACCUGAUCCCCACACCCGCCUGGUUACCUCGUUACCAUCUUGAGAGGAGAGGCCCACAUCUAACAGCGAGAGUCAGAAAGGCAGUUGGAGGCCCUGUGGUCUCUGACCUGCUCUGACGCUCGUCCAUUUCUCCACCUCUCCCACCCCGUCCCUGGGUGCAUUUCCACCAAAGAGGCACAGAACCAGCAGCGAGAGGAC